rnacentral:rRNA from 1 species
GCACAAGCGGUGGAUGAUGUGGUUUAAUUCGAUGCAACGCGAAAACCUUACCCACCUUUGACAUGGCAGGAAUCCUAAAGAGAUUUGGGAGUGCUCGAAAGAGAACCUGCACACAGGUGCUGCAUGGCUGUCGUCAGCUCGUGUCGUGAGAUGUUGGGUUAAGUCCCGCAACGAGCGCAACCCUUGCCAUUAGUUGCUACGAAAGGGCACUCUAAUGGGACUGCCGGCGACAAACCGGAGGAAGGUGGGGAUGACGUCAAGUCCUCAUGGCCCUUAUAGGUGGGGCUACACACGUCAUACAAUGGCCGGUACAGAGGGUAGCCAACCCGCGAGGGGGAGCCAAUCCCACAAAGCCGGUCGUAGUCCGGAUCGCAGUCUGCAACUCGACUGCGUGAAGUCGGAAUCGCUAGUAAUCGCGGAUCAGCAUGUCGCGGUGAAUACGUUCCCGGGUCUU